rnacentral:lncRNA from 1 species
GCGGAACCGCGGACGUGGCGCUCAAUGACCACGGGCAGCUGCUUGGCAGCCGGCGCUGCUGGAACCGCGACGACGCAUUUCGAGGUGUCAUCCCCCCCCAAAAGGGAGCACCUGAGAAUCCCUGAAGCCUCUGACCAAUACAGAAAAUGUUAUGCUGAGGGACAGAGCCAGUAGUUUCAACCAUAGCAGCAGCAGAAGCAAAAGAGAGAACCAGAUUUUGACCGGUCAGAGAGGUGAAGCAUCACCACUGUACAAAUAGGAUCCUCCAGGUUUUUCAAAAGAAGGGGAGGAACAGUUGUAUGUCAGCAGACUGAAGAGGUAUUUGGCAGAGUUUGAAUCAGCUCUAAAGUUGAGCAGUAGCCAAGAGCCGUCCUUCCAGCCCCACACUGUGCAGACCUGGGAGAAAGGAGGAAGUGGUCCUCAUCCUAAGGAAUUUAAACUGUGAGAAAAGUGGUGAUGAGAUACAAGUCAUGCUAAUUUCAAGUGUUAAUGAAGCAGAAUCCAUCCCGAUGUGAAGCCUCUGAAGAGGGAUGCUGCAUCUUCGACGGAAGGUGUUAUGAGUGCAGAUUAGUUAGACAAGUGCUGGAGUGAAUGCAUAAGCAGUGAUUUUGCAUAAUGAGGUAUAGCCCUUAGAUACCCAAGGGCAGUAUGGACACAACUUAAAGAUGGAGCAGGUGCUCUGAUGCCUUCUUGAGAAGGAUCACAAACGCUUCCAAGGGAUGUCUCAGUCCCCAUCUUCUGCUGCAG